rnacentral:rRNA from 1 species
GUGGGGAAUAUUGGACAAUGGGCGCAAGCCUGAUCCAGCAAUGCCGCGUGGGUGAAGAAGGUCUUCGGAUUGUAAAGCCCUUUCGACGGGGACGAUGAUGACGGUACCCGUAGAAGAAGCCCCGGCUAACUUCGUGCCAGCAGCCGCGGUAAUACGAAGGGGGCUAGCGUUGCUCGGAAUUACUGGGCGUAAAGGGCGCGUAGGCGGCACUGUUAGUCAGGCGUGAAAGUCCUGGGCUCAACCUGGGAACUGCGCUUGAUACGGCAGAGCUAGAGGAUGGAAGAGGGUCGCGGAAUUCCCAGUGUAGAGGUGAAAUUCGUAGAUAUUGGGAAGAACACCGGUGGCGAAGGCGGCGACCUGGUCCAUUACUGACGCUGAGGCGCGACAGCGUGGGGAGCAAACAGGAUUAGAAACCCGUGUAGUCC